UACGGAGGGUGCAAGCGUUAUCCGGAUUUACUGGGUUUAAAGGGUGCGUAGGUGGGUUGGUAAGUCAGUGGUGAAAUACUUUCGCUUAACGAAGGAACUGCCAUUGGUACUACCAGUCUUGAAUACAGUGGAGGUAGGCGGAAUGCGUCAUGUAGCGGUGAAAUGCUUAGAUAUGACGCAGAACACCAAUUGCGAAGGCAGCUUGCUACACUGUUAUUGACACUGAGGCACGAAAGCGUGGGGAUCAAACAGG
rnacentral:rRNA from 1 species